UCGAGAAUCUUCGGCAAUGGGCGCAAGCCUGACCGAGCGACGCCGCGUGGAGGACGAAGGCCUUCGGGUUGUAAACUCCUGUCGAGGGGGAGGAAGCCGCAAGGUUGACCGAUCCCUGGAGGAAGGACGGGCUAAGUUCGUGCCAGCAGCCGCGGUAAGACGAACCGUCCGAACGUUAUUCGGAAUUACUGGGCUUAAAGCGCGUGUAGGCGGCUCGGCACGUCGGACGCUGAAAUCCCCCGGCUCAACCGGGGAAGUGGCGCCGAUACGGCCGGGCUCGAGGGGGGUAGGGGGUCUGGAACUUCCGGUGGAGCGGUGAAAUGCGUUGAGAUCGGAAGGAACGCCCGUGGCGAAAGCGAGGCCCUGGACCCUUACUGACGCUGAGACGCGAAAGCCAGGGGAGCGAACGG
rnacentral:rRNA from 1 species